rnacentral:rRNA from 1 species
GGGAACACUGGGCCAGGAGCCUCGGAGAUGACAAGGUCCCAAAUGUUGGUCGGAAGCACUGGGCGGAAAGGGAUCGAAGGUGGUCAGGUAAAUCAGAUGGGAAAUCGCGGAGCGCAACUACGAAACGGGAUUGGAAACUACCUAGCUGGAGGGUUAGAGGGAGGACUAGAGUACUCAGUGUAGCAGUGAAAUGCGUAGAUAUCGAGAGGAACACCAGUGGCGAAGGCGAGUCCCUGGACAACUCCUGACACUGAGGCACGAAAGCUAGGGGAGCAAACAGGAUUAGAUACCCGGGUAGUC